GACGAACGCUGGCGGCGUGCUUAACACAUGCAAGUCGAACGGAAAGGCCCUGCUUGCAGGGUACUCGAGUGGCGAACGGGUGAGUAACACGUGGGUGAUCUGCCCUGCACUUCGGGAUACGCCUGGGAAACUGGGUCUAAUACCGGAUAGGAGCCAUUUUUAGUGUGGUGGUUGGAAAGUUUUUUCGGUGUAGGAUGAGCUCGCGGCCUAUCAGCUUGUUGGUGGGGUAAUGGCCUACCAAGGCGGCGACGGGUAGCCGGCCUGAGAGGGUGGACGGCCACCUUGGGACUGAGAUACGGCCCAGACUCCUACGGGAGGCAGCAGUGGGGAAUAUUGCACAAUGGGCGCAAGCCUGAUGCAGCGACGCCGCGUGUGGGAUGACGGCCUUCGGGUUGUAAACUCCUUUCGCUAGGGACGAAGCUUUUUGUGACGGUACCUAGAGAAGAAGCACCGGCUAACUACGUG
rnacentral:rRNA from 1 species